rnacentral:rRNA from 1 species
AUACGGGGGGUGCAAGCGUUAUUCGGAUUUAUUGGGCGUAAAGAGCGCGUAGGCGGCUUGGUAAGUCAGAUGUGAAAGCCCGGGGCUCAACCCCGGAAGUGCAUUUGAAACUAUCAGGCUUGAGUAUGGGAGAGGGAAGUGGAAUUCCUGGUGUAGAGGUGAAAUUCGUAGAUAUCAGGAGGAACACCGGUGGCGAAGGCGACUUCCUGGACCAAUACUGACGCUGAGGCGCGAAGGCGUGGGGAGCAAACAGGAUUAGAUACCCGGGUAGUCC